UGCUUCCUCAAUAUCAAGUGAUCUUCUAAUAGCUUUCUUUUUUAUUCCUUUCUACGGUUUCUGUUUAAACAUUUCAAACCAAAUCAUAUUAUAUUACACCUUUCAUUUACCUUCCCAAUACAAUUUUCUCUAACCUCAUCAUAGUCACCCUUUCCAAUCAUAAUACACUCACUUAUCAAUUCAUGCUCUCUUCUUUUCCCCAUGCUUCAAAUACACCCACUCAUCUUCAUUUCUUUACUUCUCUCUCUUGCAUAGCAUCAUUCUUCCUCUUCUACUUCCUUCUACCUCUAAUAUUUCUUCUUCUUCUUCUUCUUCUUCUUCUUCUUCUUCUUCCUUUAUUUCUUAUUGAAACCAAAUCGAAACAAGAGAUAAUAUGCGACAUCGAUUUAUGAUUUCAAAAACAAAUCCAGAUCUGCUAUCAACAAUCUCACUAUCUCUUAUUCUUAUUCUUCCUUCUUCUUAUAUUUUGUGUGUUUUAUAUUCUUCUUCAAAAUGGUUAUCGUUGACGAUUUUUUGUUUUGUGAUUUAGGUUUUGGUUUUCUGUGUUUUAAUUUAGGUUUUAUAUUAUUUCCAUUGGUAUAUUUGCUAUUAAGUUAAGAGUUAGAGUUUGCUACUGAUUUUCAUAGUUAUAAAUGUUUACAGGAAUCAUGCCAGGAUGACACAACGUUUUCCGGCGAUAGUGAAGGUGACCAUCUAAAGGGGUUUCAGGUCUCUUCCUCAAGGAUGAAGAUGAUAAAUCUGAUUAUAUUUCCGGUGGUGUGCAGUUUCGCGGUGGUGUUUAAAAUAUAUUUCUUAAGUGUUUUGUUUUGUUUUGUUUUCAACAUUAUGAAACCUUCUUAGAUGUAAAAUCUUCAUUUUAGGGUUUAUUUUCUAUGAAUAAUGACACAUGAUUUUGAAACUCUUGCUGUGACCAACACAUCUUUCCUCCAACGAAGAAGACGCCAAUACUGCUCAUAUUUUCGAGGUUUCGAUAGAACAUGGAUCUCCUCUUCCCUUUUGAUUUCGAUUAUGAUUCUCCUUCUUUCUUUUGCUUCUGUUUCGUUUGUGUGGUGUUAUUUGUUGUUGUUACUGUGAGAGUUGUUUCUGUUAACAUAAUAAUUUCAAAAUACAGAGUGUUACACCUUGCCUACAAAAUAUUCGAUGAAAGUUCCUAAGCUAUAUUGAUUUAUGUUUCUGCUUUCAAGUGACAUGCGUAUUUGGAAAGUUGUUCGGUGUCGGGUUGUUGAUUACAUUGAAAUCUGAGAGAUACAUGUUGUGUUAAAGUACUGUAAAGAGGGAGAUCUUUUUAUGUACAUUCAAUGCCAUAGAAGGGUACCGGAGGCAACUGCAAAGCAUUUUAUGCUUCAGCUGGGUAUGUUUCACCUUUAUUUUAAAAUAUAAUUUCUAUAUGAAUUGUUGUGAAAAACGAUACCAAUAACAAAGUAUAAUAGGGAAUUAGGGAAGAGAAUAAGAACACAAGAAUUGGUUAUAACUGCUAUUCUUUCACUUUCUCUUAAAACAAGAUUACAAGUUUACAAGAAUAACAAAUAACCUCUCUCACCCAAAUUAGGAUUUGCAGCUUAGCAAUGAUGAGAGACUAGUAUGCUAUUUAUAAUAAAACCUAAUAUACUAACUAAUGGGCUUUUUCAGCAAGGCCCAUUACACAAGCCAACUUAAUAAACAAGCUAACUUAACAAAUUAGGGUUUAAACACUAAAACCUAAUUUAACAUGCUAACAACUCUAGCAUCUUCGACAUCUGCAUGCUAGACCCAUCUUCGACUACAGCAUGCACACUUCGACACCAACAUGUGAACAAUCCUUCGACUUCAUGCUUAACUCUGUCGAACUGUCGAACCAAGAAGCUACCCUUCGACAAUACUAGAGUUCGAUCCAAUAUCUCACAAAUCUCCACCUUGGACCUAACUCUACAACGUUAAGGAACAGACUAGCUUUCUUCAUGCAGCUUUAUCAACUGCAUACAGUGGAAAAACUUGCAACUCGGCAAUGUCUUGGUGAUCAUAUCAGCAGCAUUGUCUUCAGUCGAAACCUUCAGCACUUGGACUUCUCCACGCUCGAUUACUCCUCUGACGAAAUGCAGCCUCACAUCAAUGUGCUUAGUUCGCUCAUGAUAGGCUGAAUUCUUUGACAGGUGUAUUGCACUUUGACUAUCACAUUUAACAGUGAUACCUCGACCUUGAAGUUUUAGCUCCUUCGCAAAACCUUCAAGCCACAAUGCUUCUUUCACAGCUUCAGUUAGGGCAAUAUACUCCGCUUCAGUGGUUGAUAGAGCAACAACCUUCUGAAGUGUUGCUUUCCAACUAAUUGCAGUGCCAAACAUAGUGAAAACAUAUCCUGAAAUAGAUUUUCUGGAAUCCAUACAACCUGCAUAAUCAGAGUCGACAUAUCCUUCUAUUACUGCUUUACUAUCUUCACCCAAGGCUCCACCAUAAAUUAGGACUCUCACAUGAAAAUUGGUAUUAUGUCUAUCAUCCUUGGAACAAAAUCUUCUUCACUCCAUAAAUGAUGAGAAGUCAAUUUUGAAGAUCGGUACUUUGUGUUUGGAAUCACAAUAUUUUUUUCCAGAUUUGUAUGCAGACCGUUUAAUCAAUUGAAUUCCAUAUUUGAGGACUGAUUCUAAUACUUAAUUUGCAUAAAAAACUCCAACUUAAGAUAAACCAUAAUUAUAGUUUUUAACUUUAUUCUCUAUAAUGCCAUCAACGUGGAAAAUGGAAUUUCUGUGGUACAUCUCUUUAAGAUCAAUAUCUUGGAAUUAUAUAUAUAUAUAUAUAUAUAUAUAUAUAUAUAUAUAUAUAUAAUAAUUACAAAGAAGGGAGAUUAUACAACAAAAAAUGUAAAAAAAUGUCAUGAAGAACAAAAAUUUCUAAAUUUUUAGUUUUGAUGAACAGUUUCGGCCACUACUGAAUAGAAACAUACUAUAUUUUUACAAAAUGAAUACUUAUAGUUAUUCGCUAUUUAAUGACUCAACAUUAUAAAAUCAAUAGUUUUCAUUCAGGGUGUGUUUGAUUUACAAAAUAUAAAGUGUUGGACAUAACAGUAUUAGGCAGUACAUAACAGUACAAGACAACUUUUUUUAUUGUAAUCAGUUUGAUGAUUAAUGCACUGAAAUUUUUUUUCUCGAUUUUAUUUAAUAUGUCUAUGCACAAGAGAAGAUAAUAUAAUUUUUACUAUAAUAUUAUUUAUUGAUAUAUAAAAUAUAAUAUUUAUGAAUUAAAAUAUUAAAUAAUGAAAAAAAUGAAGAAAUAAUUUUUUAACUGUACUUUGUUUAAUAUAUUUAUGCAGCAAACAAAAUAAUAUAAAUUUUUAUAAAAUAUUUUUUUAUUAAAAUAAAAAUAUUAAUAUUUAUGAAUCAAAAUAUUAAAUAACGAGAAGAGAAAAAAAAUAAUAAAUAGAGAUUUUUUCUCUAUUUUGUUUGAUAUGUCGAUGAACCGAAUAAAAUAAUAUCAUUUUUAUAUAAUAUUUUUAUUCAUAUAUAAAAUGUUAAUAUUAUAUUUAUGAAUUAAAAUAUUAAAUAAUGAGAUGGAGAGUAAAAAAGGAUAUUUUGAUUUUUUUUUAUAAUUUGUGUUUGGGACAAAAAAUUGUCCCAUCGUUUAGUGGGGGACAAGAAUUUAUGGUUUUGUCCAAUUCCUUGCCAUAAUUUUUGUCCAAUAACAUGAUUAAUUUUUACAGCAAACAGGGUACAAAAAAAGUUGUCCUGCCCAAUACCUCAUUUUUAGCAAAUCAAACGCACUCUCGUACUCAUAGCUUUUAUCCUUAUUUUUUUUUUUACACCUAAUUUUUUUCUAACUAUUUUCAAUAGAAUAUCAAUAUUUCACAUUUUUUAACAACUUAAUAUUACUUGAUCUACUAUUUAUGAGUUAUAUGUCUACAAAAUUAUGGUGAACAUUUACAUUUAUUUAUUAAAAAUAUAUUAAUUAUUAUAUAUAUAUAUAUAUAUAUAUAUAUAUAUAUAUAUAUAUAUAUAUAUUACUAUUUUUUUUUAUUUUUCCUUUUUUAUAAUUAACUUUUAUUAUUUUUUAUUUUAUUUAAAUUUCAAAAUUAAACUGGUGGAAAUUCCACAAAUAAUUAAUUUCGGUCUAUUAAUUUGUCUAUAUUUAGCAAUUAGUUAAUGUAAUAAUAUUAUUACACAAGGAAAUCCACGAAAUAAUUUGAUUAUAGGCAUUUAAUUUGUUUCCAUUUUCGUUCUUUUUACUUUUAAAUUAUAGUUAAUUUGCAUUUAAGUUAGUCUUUAAUUUUUAUAUUUUAUUUUUCUAUUUUAAAAUAUGAAAUGUUACAUAUAAUUAAAAAUAUAUUAUAAAACAUAAUAUGAAAAUGAUUCUGUAUAAAUAAUAAAAUUUAAAAAUUAUGUUAAUAAAAUUUAGCCUUCAUGAUGCUGUUGAUAUAUUUUUGGAGAUUUGGAAAAAUAAAAUUUGUAUACAAAAAUAAAAUUUGUAUACGGGAAAAAAUAUAUUAUCGAUCUAAAUAUUUUUUAUCAAAAAAUGGUAUAUUGGAACAAAUUUAUUAUUGAUAUAAAUAUUUUUAUAUACGAAAAUUUACUAUUGAUUCAGAUAUUUUUGUAAAUGAUACUCAAACAAAAAUAAUAUUUGUAUAUGGGAAAAAAUUUAUUAUUGAUCUAAAUAUUUUUAUAUAAAAAAUGGUAUUUAUAAUCUAAAUAUUUUUGAUAAAAAAAUGGUAUACGGGAAAAAAUAUAUAUUAUUGAUCUAAAUAUUUUUAUAUACGAAAGUUUACUAUUGAUUCAUAUAUUUUUGAUAAUGAUACCUAAACAAAAAUAGUAUUUAUACAUGGGAAUAUGAAGUUAUUGAUCAAAAUAUUGAUUAUUAACGGGAAAGGAAGUUAAUGAUCAAAAUAUUUUUUUUAUUAAUUAUAUAUUCAAUUAUUAUUUUUUACAAGUAAUCAGAUAUUUUUUGUUAGCAAAUAUAUAUCUGAAACAAAUACGCGUUUUGACCGGAAUCCGUACGAACGCACGGGUUUGUUAUUAGUUGUGUAAGAAUGCAUGUUUGUUUACUCUUUUGGUAGUCUUACUUAGGGGUGUAAGCGGAUCAGAAAAAACCAAUUAAACUGACAAUCAAACCAAACCAAACCGAAAUAAAACCGAUUGUUUAUGGUUCGGUUCUAAAACCGAACCAAACUAAUAAAAACCAAUGUGAUUUGGUUCGGUUCUCGGUUUUAGUUUUUAGGAACCGUCAAACCGAUGAACCGAACCAAUGGAAAUAAUUACGCUCUAAAUCCUUUAUUCCACCCUUCAUUAAGCUCAAAUUUUGUACCUUUCCAACCAUUCUCCAUCUUUGUUUUCACUUUCUUCCUUUAAGCAAAACACGUAUUUAGAACUAAACUCCAAAACAUAUAAAUAGUAAAAAUCAUAAGUCACAACUUUCACAAAACUACUUCUCUAGUUGACUACCUCAAAUGUUGCUCUCACUAUCGCUACUAUGAUAUGUUAUAAUAUCCUUCUUCGGGUUCAAAUUCUCUUCGUUACUUUUCAUAUUUGUUUUUACCUUUCUGAUUUCUUCUUCAACAAAAUUCCUUCUAGUCUUGUUACAAAAUAGUUUUUUAAUGUGUAUUUAAGGCGGAAACAUGUUAAUUGAUGUGUGUUUUUUUGUGUUCUAUUUGUUAAACUUUAAAAUCUAUUUCCAACAUUCCGAUGUCAAGAUUCAACUUUUAUAGUGAAUUUAUUUCAUUAUGCAAUGAAACUAUGUCAUUGUUUCAUAUAUGGAUUAAGUGCAACUUGUAAGUUGUUUGAAAAAUUAGAGCAUGAAAUAAAUGACAUGAAAUGUAUUAUUUUAAAAAAUAAUAGCAUAAAAUAUACCGAAAAAUACAAUAUUGAAAAAUACAUUGAUGAAUAUAAUAUUUCAAAAAAAUAUUAAAAAUCGAUCAAUGAACCAACUCAAACCGAAGCAAACCGAUUAGUUUGGUUCGGUUCCAUUUUUGAAAAAUGUUAAAAACCGAACCAAGUCAAACCGAUGAAGAUAUUAUUGGUUCGGACCUUUUUUUACCAAAAAUCAGUCCAAACCAAUCCGAUUACACCCCUAAUCUUAUUCGUGCAGGAUUAACAAAUGUACAUUUGUUGUCAAUGCACUUCCAACUUUUAGGCAACUUUUUUUUACAAUCUGCAUCUGAUUUACAUUCAAUUAUUGCUGUAAUGAAAAAAGAAAUUAAAAAUAUUGUCAAAAAAACAAGAUAAAAAAUUGUGUUCAAAGUAAAAAGUAAUGAUCAAAUUUGAAAAGGAUGGAAAAGCAUCUUACCGGAAAUGUUUCUUGCAAGAGAAAAUACAUAAAUAAAUAAAAUCAUAAAAUGAACAAUUUUGAGAGUUUUAGCCAUAUUUUCUCUUUUUGCAUGUUAUAAAUAGAAUAUGAUAUGAUUAAUUUAUAGGUAUAAAAUUCAUGGUAAAUUAAAAUAAAUUACUCUCUUUUAACGCUUGAAAAAUUGUGAAAACAUCUUUAAAUUAUUAUAAUAAAGUAAUGUAUCUUAAGUAGAUUAAUGUGUUAUGUUUGUCUUUUUUAUUUUUUUUAUUUUGAACAAAUAAUGAAUUUAUAUAUAAAAAAAAACAGUUGGGUACAAGCUGAUCCAGAGGAUCCAAACUACAAGCAGACUAAACUAAUAAUCCCUAAGUUUGUCCUUUUAACACAUUAAAUAGUAUCUUACAAAACUUUCUAAUCAAUAGAAUUUAUUCUUUUUAAAAUUAAGUGUUCAACCUUUGAUCAAAGAGAGAUUCAUAGUAUUUUAUUUACUAUUAAAAAUAGUUAAUAUGAAAAAGCUAUUUGUACGCAAAAUUUAUCAUCAGUUUGACAACAUAGUUAAGCACAAGUUGAACAUAUAAAUAAUGGAUAUAAAUAAAAACAUUUGAUCUUAGGGAAUGAAUAUUAAAUUUUGUAGUUGUGAUUUCAUCAACAUUAUCAUUCACAUAAAGUCCAUUAGUCACAUUUGUUGGAAAUCCACCAAAAUCUAUGAUGAAUUUUUAUCAAUUUUGAUGAACAAGAUUGUUAUCACCACACGAUAACAAUGAAAAGAGAAAAGAAAUUUAAAGAAGAAAAGUGGUUAGGGUUUCUGCAGAGUAACUCUCUGUCCACAAAUAGUGAAAAACUUUAUUAUUUAUUGUAACUGCAAAUUAUGUGAAUACAACCUUUUUGACUUGAUUACAAAAGAAUGAGGGUUACUCCCUAUUUAUAGAUUUAGGUUAGCUUACUUCCUAAGCAAAAACCCAAAACUAUAAAAGCCCAAAAUACCUAUUUUUGAACUAAAUCAAAUCUAAUCUAAUUUAAAUCUAAAUUAAAUCUAUCUAGAUCUAAAACAAAUCUGUGUGUAACAAACUGUUUCCACACUUCUAAACAAAACAAAUCUUUUUGACACAAGAAAUUACAAUUUAACAACCACCUAAUUUAUUGUGUCUAAUCUAUAUAUGUUCAUCACAAUUCUAAGUCUUCUGAACACUUCGACUUGCACUCCCUUCGUCAUGAUAUCUACAAUUUGAUUCUUAUCUUCCCAUCUGCUACCUGCUCUCAAAGAUAAUGGAACCUCAUUUCGAUGUGCUUGCUUUGACCAUGUGCUAUUGGGUUCUUUGUCAAGUUGAUUGCUGACAUGUUUUCAAUCUUCAUGGUAAUUGCUCCAUGAUAUUUACCUGUCAUCUCUUCGACCAAGUUCACCAUCCAUGUUGCUUGACAUGCACAAAGGGAAGCAUCUAUGUACUCUGCUUUGCAUGAUGAUAAUGUCACUACUGGUUCCUUUCUCGAACUCCAAGCAACUGGUGCACCACCUAGCAUGAACACAUAACCAACUGUGAAUUUUCGAUCCUCAGCAUCACUAAACCAACUCGAAUCAGUGUAUCCUACUAACUUGCAUUUUUUUCCUUUAUCAGAUUCAGGAAACAGAAUGCCAUAGUCAAGAGUUCCUUUUAGAUACCUUAGUAUCCUGUUUGCCGCUGCUAGGUGUGAUACCUUUGGCUUUUGCCUGAAUCUACUUACCAUACCCACACUGUAUGCUAAGUCAGGCCUUGUAUGACAAAGGUAUAUUAAUGACCCAAUAAGUCCUCUAUACUAGGUUGGGUCGACAUCAUAUUCAUCUACAUCUUUCAACAGUUGCAGUCAUGGUUCUGCAGGUGUCGAAGUCGAGUUGCAUUCUUCCAUCUCAAAUCUCUUGAAAAUUUCACUUGCAUAUCUUCUUUGAUGCAUCAUCAAGCCUCUACUACUCUUGUAGAAUUCAAUGCCAAGGAAAUAUGAAAUAUCGCCCAGAUCUGACAUUUUGAAUUCCUUGCUGAUAUCACCUUUGAAGUCUUCGAUCUCUUUCUUGCAGCUACCUAUUAUUAACAAGUCAUCGACAUAGAGACAUAGUAUACGCAAUUCAUUCUUGCUUCUUCUUACAUAUACUCCAUGUUCAGUUGUGCACUUCAAAAAUUCCUUAUCCCUUAGGAAACCGUUGAUCUUUUUAUUCCAAGCUCUUGGAACUUAUUUCAAUCCAUACAGGGCUUUAUGAAGCCUGUACACCUUUCUCUCUUCGCCAUGUUUCACAAACCCAACUGGUUGUGCAACAUAGACUUCUUCGUCUAAGGGUCCAUUUAAGAAUGCACACUUCACGUCCAUCUGACAUAUGAGCCAACUGUUUAUUUCUGCUAGACCAACAACCAACUUGAUUGUUUCGAUCCUUGAAACAAGUGAAAAAACUUCAUCGAUGUCGAUUCCUUCCUUAUGAAGAAAUCCAUUCGCCACGGGCUUUGCUUUAUGUCGAGUUAUUUCCCCUUUGGGAUUUAUCUUCACUUUGUAUACCCACUUGACAUUAAUUGCCUUUUUGCCUUGAGGCAAUUCUACAAGUGACCAAGUAUUGCUGUCUUCGAUGGACUUCACUUCUUCAUUCAUAGCUUUUACCCACUUCAAAUCCUUCAAUGUCUCAGUUGCAUUAACAGGUUUGAUAUUUGUGUAGAAAGCAUAAUGUACUAGCUCACCUUCAUCAUUGACCACAUCAUCUGAUGUAAUCACACAAUCUUACAACCUUGCAGGCAUGUGUCUUGUUCUCUGAGGUCUGCUUGUAUAUGGUUAAUCUCUAACCUCCUCUUGUCGAACUUCUCUUUCGACUAGAGUUUAUGGUUCUUCGAGUAAGACUCCCACUGAUUUUUUUUGACAUUUUCAGUCCAAUCCCACUCUUUAAGCUCAUCUAUGAUCAUGUUCCUACUAAUCACCACUCUCUUAUUCACUGGAUCGAACAAUUUGUAACCUCCAGUCGAAUGAUAUCCUAUUAGGAUCAUCUGACUCGACUUGUCAUCAAGUUUUCUUCUCAACUGAUCUGGCACAUGUCUAUGUGCUAUAGAUCCAAAUACUUUCAAAUGACUCAAGCUAGGAUUCACACCAUACCAACAUUCUUUUGGAGUAAUUCCUUCUAGCUUCUUCUUCGGACACCUUUUUAGAAUAUAUUUUGCGGUCGACACAGCUUCACCCCAAAACUCUUUUGGUAAAUGCUUGCCUUUCAACAUACUUCUCACCAUAUUCAUGAUGGUUCGAUUCUCCCUUUCCGCAGUUCCAUUCUGCUGUGGAGUGUAGGGUGGCACCACCUCAUGCACAGUCCCUUCUUUCUCACAUAAUAUGUCGAAGUCUUUCGACACAUAUUCUCCACCACCAUCAGUUCUCAAAACCUUGAGCUUUCGCCCACUUUGUCUUUCGACCAUCGAUUUAAACUUGACAAAUACCUCAAUCACUUCACUUUUCUUCUUGAUUAGGUAAGUCCACAGUUUUCGACUGAAAUCAUCUUUGAAUGUAACAAAGUAUUUGUUACCUCUAUUCAAAUCCACCUGGAUAGGACCAUAUACGUCAUAGUAUAUGAUUUCGAGAAUAGCCUUCGACUUACUUCCUGCAUUCUUGCUGAAGCUUUUCUUGUGCUGCUUCGCCUGCACACAAUCCUCACAUACCUCGUUUGGAAUGUUGAUUUUUGGCAGUCCUAAAACCAUAUUCUUUCUUUUCAAGUCUCUGAUGUCUUUGAAGUUGAGAUGACUUAGUCGAUAGUGCCACAUCCAUUCAUCUCUGCUAGUUGCAGUCGAAAGGCACUUGUGCUCCAUCACAUCGAGUUCGAUCUUGAAGGUUCUAUUUUGAGACAUAAGAGCCUUCAAGAUUAACCUUCCACCUGCAUCGAAGACUCUCAUAAUCUUGUCUUCGAUCGAUACUUUGUAGUUCUUUUCGACUAACUGCCCAAUGCUGAGCAAGUUGCUCUUCAUGCCUGGUAUGUACAAUACAUUGGAAAUUACUGACCUUUUUCCAUCUUUCCUCAUAAUUAGAACGUCUCCAAUACCUUCACCUGCUAAAGUAUUGUCAUUUGGGAAUUUCACCAUGUUGUUCAUUGAGGGCUUUAUGUUGACAAACCAAUCUUUCCUUCCAGACAUGUGUGAUGAGCAUCCUGAAUCCAAGUACCAUUGAUCCUUGAAUUUAUCUUCAUCUUUUGUUGUGACCAUCAACAUCAUCUCUUAUUCUUCUUCUUGUUUUGCAAACUUUGUAUAACUUUCUUGAUCCUUAUUCUUUUCUGGACACUUUGUAGAAUAGUGACCAUACUUCUGACAAUUUAAACACUGAAUGUGACUCUUGUCAGGCUUUCAACCACCACCUCUUCCUUUACCUGCAGCACCACCUCUUUGGUUGCUUUGGUAUGAGGAUUUUCUAUGAUUCGACCACCUUCCUUCUUGCUGACUUCAACCAAUUGAAUUGUUGUGGCCACCUCUACCUUUAUUUCCAUUCCAACUUCCUUUGCCUUUGUUUGCCGACUGAGACUGCAAAGCUACAUCACUCUUCGACUUCCUUACUGCUAUUUCAGCCACUCGUUGUUCAUGAGAUUCAAGCGUCCCU